CAACUACUCCCUCUGUCCCAAAUUUCUUGUCUUAGAUUUGUCUAGAUACGGAUGUAUCUAAUACUAAAAUGUGACUUGAUACAUCCCUAUCUAGACAAGUCUAAGACAAGAAUUUUGGGACGGAGGGAGUACUUU
rfam:Triticum aestivum genome assembly, contig: Triticum_aestivum_CS42_TGACv1_scaffold_501172_6BL